rnacentral:rRNA from 1 species
GGGGAGCCGAAGGGAAACCGAGUCUUAACUGGGCGUUAAGUUGCAGGGUAUAGACCCGAAACCCGGUGAUCUAGCCAUGGGCAGGUUGAAGGUUGGGUAACACUAACUGGAGGACCGAACCGACUAAUGUUGAAAAAUUAGCGGAUGACUUGUGGCUGGGGGUGAAAGGCCAAUCAAACCGGGAGAUAGCUGGUUCUCCCCGAAAGCUAUUUAGGUAGCGCCUCGUGAAUUCAUCUCCGGGGGUAGAGCACUGUUUCGGCAAGGGGGUCAUCCCGACUUACCAACCCGAUGCAAACUGCGAAUACCGGAGAAUGUUAUCACGGGAGACACACGGCGGGUGCUAACGUCCGUCGUGAAGAGGGAAACAACCCAGACCGCCAGCUAAGGUCCCAAAGUCAUGGUUAAGUGGGAAACGAUGUGGGAAGGCCCAGACAGCCAGGAUGUUGGCUUAGAAGCAGCCAUCAUUUAAAGAAAGCGUAAUAGCUCACUGGUCGAGUCGGCCUGCGCGGAAGAUGUAACGGGGCUAAACCAUGCACCGAAGCUGCGGCAGCGACGCUUAUGCGUUGUUGGGUAGGGGAGCGUUCUGUAAGCCUGUGAAGGUGUGCUGUGAGGCAUGCUGGAGGUAUCAGAAGUGCGAAUGCUGACAUAAGUAACGAUAAAGCGGGUGAAAA